AUAACCUGAUUCUACCUACACAGACCUGCUUUUAAACAUCCAAAAUAUUUUUGCUCUCGUCUCAAACCCUCCAAAACUCCAACCUUUCUUGCUCUUUCACGAUUGCAACAAAAAAAAAGCUUCAGCUUUCCAACAAAUUCUCCAAUGUUUCCAAGUUUCCAACAACUAUUUCGUAAAUGCUUUAUAAACUGUAGCUACUUCUUUACUUGUUUUAGAUUUUCUCUUGCACGUGUGCCAUUGUGGUAGAAUUUGUAGGAUUUUUUAGUUAACAAUUUGUGGUUUUCAUGCUUUAUUAUAGGUGAGUUGUUAAACUUAGAGACUGUGUGGGCAUUGAGAAAUUUGGGAAAUGAAAUUUGGAUGUGGUUAUAAUUUUGAGUUAUGGCAUGAAUAUCUCUGCUAGACAAUCUUGAAAUUAUAUUUCUGUGGGUUAAAUUGUUUAUCACAGUUUCAUACAAAUUACUCUUGAGAUUUCCUACUCAAAUUUCUCUAUUGUGGAUUUUGUUUGUGCUAGAAAAUUUUAGGAUUUUAGAAAUUAAAUAUUGACCAUAUGGCUAAUAUUAGCUGAUAGUGAUGAGUUGGUUGAGAUUUCGUUUCAUAAUUCUAAAAAUAUAAUGCAUAGUGAGAAAUGGAGCAUUUAGUGCAUUCUUGGUUAGUAGUUCAAGAGUAACUUUGUUGAUUGCUUUGUGAUAUUUGGGGAACAUAUAAUUCUUGUGUCUCUUGAGUGUGUUUUAAUUGUGCGAAAAAUUUCGUCAUUGUUGGUUGUGAGUAGAAGAUUAUGGCACCCAAAAGUUGAAAGAUGGUGGCUUUGAGUUCUCAACCAUUUGACAACUCAAAGUUUGUUUUAGACACUAAGGAAUGGUAUGACCAUUUCCUUCUUAAGAAAAAUCUGGAACCCUAUUGUGGAUUUGUGCAAAAUAGUAUGGAGUUAACUGAGAUUUAAUGCACACAUUAAGAAUCGCAAUUGGGAAGUGUUUUUGCACAUCCCCAAGCGGCGGUCCUCCAGGUCGUACUGGAAUUUUAUGCUAUUUUACUAGAUUCAGGUGGAAAAUCUGUGUUUGUCGAAGGGAAGCAAGUUCCCUUUGACGCUGCACUAAACUCUUGCCCACCCUAAAACAUGACUGCCACGAUUACAUUCUCAAUUGAGGUUUCGGGAAGGAUUUCUGUUGGGAACCUUGUGGCAAGCAUUGUGGUGCUGCUAGUGUUUAGCUAUGUGUGCAGUGUGAAUUUAGUUUCCAUCCUAAAUGUGUUAAACCAUCUUCAGCUAAACAUGGAUAUCACAGACAUCUGCUUAUCUGUAUGGAAUCGAUUAAAGAAGACAAUGUUGGAGAAUAUCAUUGUGAUGUUUGUGAGAAUGAAAGGAAUCUAAAGCAUCUUGUGUAUUAUUGUCCAAGUUGGAGGUAUAUGGCUCAAGUUGAAUGUGCACUUGCUGAUGAUAAAAUUUCAUCUGGAAAGGUCUCAUCCUUAUUUCCCCGGUCCAUAUAAAACAAAGCUUUGGCAUUUGAACGAAAUGGAGCAGAAUGAAAGGACCAAUAUUCAACCUAUCAACCACAAUCAUCGGAUGUCUGAGGUUCAUCCGAUGUAUGUGGUAACUAAAGUGUGAAAAGGAAAAGGAAAAGGAAAAGGAAAAAAAUAGUGCAACAGUUGUCGUCUGGUACUUAGUGGUCCUAGCUACCUUCUUAAAUCUGCAGGACAAAAAAAGUUUUACCUACAUAAACGAUGUGCUAACUUGCCAAAUAAGAUACAACACCCAUCCCAUUCUAUCCAUCCUCUUAACCUCUAUACUUCACAUCACCCUCAGAUUGGUCGAACCAUUUCAUGUGAUGAGUGUAGAGACAUUUGUCUUGGCUUCAUAUAUCUUUGCGAGCAGUGUGAUUUCAAGCUUGAUGUGAAAUGCGCUGCUCUAAGAACUCAUAAAACUGCGGUUUUGCAAGAAAAAGAGAUGGCUAGAGUAACCGAGUCACAGCAUUUCAACCACCACCAUAAGCUUGUACUUGGCUAUUGUAACGACCCUAUAGAUGAAACCAAAUGCACAAUUUGUGAAUUACCAAUCAUAGGUCCAGCCUAUUUUUGCCGUGAGUACAACUGUGAUUAUAUUCUUCACGAAUCUUGCCUUAGGUUACCACAAAAGAUAGAAGUCCCAUUUCAAUGGAAUGAAAUCCCAUUUCAAAUGCAUCAAGUCCCAUUUCAUCAGGAACAUGUGUUUGUUAGUUGCGUCUUCCCCCAUGAAGAUUCAAAGCCACAGUGUUAUGCUUGCCCUUUUGCGUUAAAAUCACUUAUGUUUGCAUAUAAUUGUGAACAUUGUCCCAUCAACCUCCAUCCUACAUGUGCUAGUUCCUUAAGGCGACCCUUGAAAAGUGAGUCCCACCCCACGGUCACAUGCAUGACCUUUACUAUUUUGGGACAAAUUUUCAGUUACUCAUUGCCAAGUAUCCACCACCGGCAGCAAGUUUUCUUUGUGUUGAAUGUGGAAAACGUAUUAAAAGAGAACCCUUUUAUCGUUGUCCACAAUGUCGUUUCAAUUUUCAUGUGAAAUGUGUUCCCAUUCCUGGUAUGGUUAAAUCCACAUAUCAUGAAAGGUUCUUUUGUUGAAGAUGAUUCUAGAGAUCAUCGUUAUGAAUUUUAUGAGGAAGAUAGAAAUCCAAAUGAUCACGCAUAUUAUUGUGCAGAAUGCGUAUUUGCUGGAGCAGUGGAGGCACUAUUUUAAAUUCGACCUUUGGGGCGAAAAGAGUCACUUAUUCUUCAUGAAAUGCAGGGAAGAUCUGAAGAUUUUAACCCAGCUAUAAUUGAUAAGUAGUAAGAGCCUUGGUGCUAAUUAAUUUGAAAGGUUGGUGAUUAUUUUUGUUGUGUGGAAUUGGGAAUCUAGAUAUUGCUGUCUAUUUCUAAGUUAAAAGUUCAUCCAUGACUCUUUGCUUAGUAACAA